UACGAAGGGGGCUAGCGUUGCUCGGAAUUACUGGGCGUAAAGGGCUCGUAGGUGGCCAACUAAGUCGGACGUGAAAUCCCUCGGCUUAACCGGGGAACUGCGUCUGAUACUGGAUGGCUUGAGUUCGGGAGAGGGAUGCGGAAUUCCAGGUGUAGCGGUGAAAUGCGUAGAUAUCUGGAGGAACACCGGUGGCGAAGGCGGCAUCCUGGACCGACACUGACGCUGAGGAGCGAAAGCCAGGGGAGCAAACGGG
rnacentral:rRNA from 1 species